CACCUCGCUUCUGUGUGGGCCUCCAGCCUGUUUGCCCAGCGGUGUUAUCAGCUGACCUUGAGGACACAGGCUUCUGGUCACGGAGAACCAAGAGCCGCUCCCUGACUCCAGACUCCGGACUCCAGACCGGUGGACUUACCUGUUUCCUCUUCCUCCCUCUUCUCCUGGACCAAAGGGCUUUGGGUCCACCCGGGAAGGUGGUGGGCCUCCUCCCUAAACUUCUCCCUACCAGAGCACCCCACGGCAAAGGCCAUCCUCAGGAUCCCCCCCUCCUUUAGGCGAAAGCUCCUUGGUUGUACCUGCUGAUUGAGGGCUCCUCCCCUGGUGUCUGGGCAACCGGACAGGCCUGGACUGACCUUGGACAGGUCCUUUCUCUCGUUUAGGGUCACUCCUCCGAGCCAAGGGGGAGGCCAGUGCCAGCUUUGCCCGGUGCCCUGCUGAGGGAUGGUGAGAGCAGCUAUCGUCCUCAGCAUUCUGCAUACAUUGACCCAUUUAAUCCUUUGACAUAGGUCCUCCUACUUUACGUGUUGGACAAAGGAGGACAUUGGGGCUCUGAGCCUGAGUGUCACGAUCAUGAAUCCUCCCAACACACGUAGCCGCGGCAGAUCCAGCAUUGGCGGUAGACCCCGAGGGCUGCUACCCUAGCCAGAGCCCUUGAAUAAAAGGCCAGGUUACCUGUGUCCUGCUUCCUCCCUCCGGCCGGGGUCAUGCUUCCACUCCUCACUGCUCUGGCGCUCUGGGGGACGCUGGCCACCCCAGCAGGGACGUCCAAGGCAUGUCCAGCUUGCUCUCUGCUGGGAAACUGUACCGAGAGAACCUGUCCUGCUGCCAAGGAAGCCUGCUUGUUCAGCCAGAUGCAGCUGGAAAAUGGGACUGUCAUCAAGAAUGGGUCAUGUGUCAUCCCUGGGGAAUGCCGAGAAGGUGUCUACUCCCUGACCUAUGGCCCCUACUGGAGUCUCUGGGUCAGCACAGCGUGUUGUGAGAUCACCUGCAAAGGGGCCACACGACAAGGCGCUGACUCUGCACUUGCAUGACCUUGAGAGGGAGCGGCUCCUUGCUGGCCUCACUCCAGACCCAGCCCUGAGUGGCGAUAAAGAUCACUUUUUGCUGCUUGGUUAUUUGUCCAAAGAAAGAAUUUGUAUUUGGCAGGUGUAGCAACAGGGGGAGACCCGAGACAGCUCCACACUCGGGGCUCCUGGCCGUCCUUUCAGCCAACCGGGAUUUCCCUCCUCCUAAAAACUGUGCUGCUCAUUAAAUAAAACCACCAGUUCCAAGCUGAGAGGUUGGCAUGCUGGGGGGUGUAGAAAAUGCCGGUUAUGAUUGUAACUUCGUUAGACGAAAUUUCUACGUAUAAAGAAAGAUCAAAGGGACUAUCUCGGAAUACCCUGAUGGAGAGUCUAGAGCAGCCACUGCCCAGGAGAAAUGCAACAUGUGCCAUAGUUGUGGGGAAAGGUUUUCUGGUAGCCACGUUACAAAGUACGAAGAAACAGGUGAAAUUAACUUUAAUAAUGUAUUUUAUUUACGGUAAUAUGGCUAAAACAUUCUUUUGACCUGUAUGUAAUCAAUAUAAAAUUAAGA